CACACCAUGCUAAAGCGCGCGUUGUAAUGACCGCGGAGAAGCAGCGCCCGCCGAAGGCCACGUGACGCUCCUGGCAGCCUGUCAGGCGCAAGGCGCACGGCGCGCGCUCUGCAGUGUGCGCGAUCCGAGGCGAGGUGGAGUUCGCGUGGCGGACACCUAUGUCGAUCGGUGUUAGAAAGAAUAAGAAGCAUAUAAGGAAGAAUCUAAGGGCAACAUAAUUAAUUGAAAUGCAAAAUGAUUCCCAGCUUCAGCGCUAGCAACUGGUUUAACAAACAACGAAUAACGUCAGUCGGACCCUUCAAACAAAUCAACUUUAACUCUCCGCCGCCCCCGGAGUGGCAGAUUUCCGCCGCUGUAUAGUUUAAGAAGAUUUAAAAAGACUAAAUCGCUCAGAAUGGAGUAACGGCACUAGUCCCCGGUGAAGCGGCGGGCGGCGGCAUGCGGAGACGGACAAUGUAGGCCCCAGUGGAUCCGGACUCGGUGCACCGAGGGGAGCUGAGAGGAAUGUGGCAUAUUUCCCUUCCACUGUAUUUCCAUCCAUCUUCCAUAUCCGAUUAUCAACUACUGGGUCACAGUGAGCCCAAGCCUUUUCCAGGAAGCACAGCAUGAGGGACACCCUGGAUAAGAUGCCAAGGAAUAUAGAGACUCCAUGCGCUCAGAGCUGGGACCGCGAAUGGAGCCUCUAUUCCUGGAUGUGGACGGCUGUAUUGCUACCCACUGAACCACCAUGAUGUAACACUUUUUUUGCAAUGCCUAAGUAAAAAUAUAUAAUUGUAAAA